rnacentral:rRNA from 1 species
AUAUCAAUAAGCGGAGGAAAAGAAACUAACAAGGAUUCCCCUAGUAACGGCGAGUGAAGCGGGAAUAGCUCAAAUUUGAAAUCUCAUAGGUUUUACCUGUGCGAAUUGUAGUUUAAAGAAACGUUUUCGGGAGCGGCUUGGGUAUAAGUCCUUUGGAAAGAGGCACCUAAGAGGGUGACAGUCCCGUGCAUGAUCCAAUGUCCGCUUCUAUGUGAUACGUUCUCAAAGAGUCAGGUAGUUUGGGAUUGCUGCCUAAAAUGGGUGGUAAAUACCAUCUAAAGCUAAAUAUUGGCGAGAGACCGAUAGCGCACAAGUA